rnacentral:rRNA from 1 species
GAUGAACGCUGGCGGCGUGCCUAAUACAUGCAAGUCGAGCGAACGGACGAGAGGCUUGCUUUUCUGAUGUUAGAGGCGGACGGGUGAGUAACACGUGGAUAACCUACCUAUAAGACUGGGAUAACUUCGGGAAACCGGAGCUAAUACCGGAUAAUAUUUUGAACCGCAUGGUUCAAAAGUGAAAGACGGUCUUGCUGUCACUUAUAGAUGGAUCCGCGCUGCAUUAGCUAGUUGGUAAGGUAACGGCUUACCAAGGCAACGAUGCAUAGCCGACCUGAGAGGGUGAUCGGCCACACUGGAACUGAGACACGGUCCAGACUCCUACGGGAGGCAGCAGUAGGGAAUCUUCCGCAAUGGGCGAAAGCCUGACGGAGCAACGCCGCGUGAGUGAUGAAGGUCUUCGGAUCGUAAAACUCUGUUAUUAGGGAAGAACAUAUGUGUAAGUAACUGUGCACAUCUUGACGGUACCUAAUCAGAAAGCCACGGCUAACUACGUG